rnacentral:piRNA from 1 species
CUGUUCAUCAAGGACCAGACUAAAGACUCU